UGGGGAAUAUUGGACAAUGGGGGCAACCCUGAUCCAGCAAUGCCGCGUGUGUGAAGAAGGCCUGCGGGUUGUAAAGCACUUUUGUCCGGGAAGAAAGGACCUGACCUAAUACGUUGGGGGGAUGACGGUACCGGGAGAAUAAGCACCGGCUAACUUCGUGCCAGCAGCCGCGGUAAUACGAAGGGUGCAAGCGUUAAUCGGAAUUACUGGGCGUAAAGGGUGCGUAGACGGCCUAUUAAGUCGACUGUGAAAGUCCUGGGCUCAACCUGGGGACGGCAGUUGAUACUGAUGGGCUUUGAGUUUGGGAGAGGGUGGUGGAAUUCCCGGUGUAGCGGUGAAAUGCGUAGAGAUCGGGAGGAACAUCCGUGGCGAAGGCGGCCACCUGGCCUGAAACUGACGU
rnacentral:rRNA from 1 species